rnacentral:rRNA from 1 species
UACGGAGGGUGCAAGCGUUAAUCGGAAUUACUGGGCGUAAAGCGUGCGCAGGCGGUUUGUUAAGUCUGCUGUGAAAUCCCCGAGCUCAACCUGGGAAUGGCAUUGGAUACUGGCUCGCUAGAGUGCGGUAGAGGGUGGUGGAAUUCCCGGUGUAGCAGUGAAAUGCGUAGAGAUCGGAAGGAACGCCCGUGGCGAAAGCGAGGUCCUGGACGCCUACUGACGCUGAGACGCGAAAGCCAGGGGAGCGAACGGG